GACGAACGCUGGCGGCGUGCUUAACACAUGCAAGUCGAACGGAAAGGCCCUGCUUUUGUGGGGUGUCCGAGUGGCAAACGGGUGAGUAACCCGUGAGUAUCCUGCCCUUGACUUUGGGAUAACUUCAGGAAACUGGGGCUACUACCGGCUAGGAGCUCCUGCUGCAUGGUGGGGGUUGGAAAGUUUAGGCGGUUGGGGAUGGACUCCCGGUUUACCAGCUUGUUGGUGGGGUAGUGGCUUACCCAGGCUUUGACGGGUAGCCGGCCUGGGAGGGGGACCGGCCACAUGGGGACUGAGAUACGGCCCAGACGCCUACGGGAGGCAGCAGUGGGGAAUAUUGCACAAUGGGCGGAAGCCUGAUGCAGCAACGCCGCGUGCGGGAUGACGGCCUUCGGGUUGUAAACCGCUUUCGCCUGUGACGAAGCGUGAGUGACGGUAAUGGGUAAAGAAGCACCGGCUAACUACGUG
rnacentral:rRNA from 1 species